ensembl:snRNA U6 U6 spliceosomal RNA
GUUGUGUUAUAACAACCCAAAUAAAUGAUACAGAAAAGAUUAGCAUGGCCCCUUCGCAAAGAUGAAAUGCAAAUUCGGGAAGCAUUCCAUAUUUUU